GACGAACCGUGCGAACGUUGUUCGGAUUCACUGGGCUUAAAGGCGCGUAGGCGGCUUGCCAAGUCAGGGGUGAAAUCUUUCGGCUUAACCGGAAAAGUGCUUCUGAUACUGGCAGGCUGGAGGAGGGUAGGGGCGGGCGGAACUUCCGGUGGAGCGGUGAAAUGCGUAGAUAUCGGAAGGAACGCCGGUGGCGAAAGCGGCCCGCUGGACCCUUUCUGACGCUGAGGCGCGAAAGCCAGGGGAGCAAACGGG
rnacentral:rRNA from 1 species